AUUGAACGCUGGCGGCAUGCUUUACACAUGCAAGUCGAACGGUAACAGGCCGCAAGGUGCUGACGAGUGGCGAACGGGUGAGUAAUGCAUCGGAACGUGCCCAGUCGUGGGGGAUAACGCAGCGAAAGCUGUGCUAAUACCGCAUACGAUCUAUGGAUGAAAGCGGGGGACCGUAAGGCCUCGCGCGAUUGGAGCGGCCGAUGUCAGAUUAGGUAGUUGGUAGGGUAAAGGCCUACCAAGCCGACGAUCUGUAGCUGGUCUGAGCGGACGACCAGCCACACUGGGACUGAGACACGGCCCAGACUCCUACGGGAGGCAGCAGUGGGGAAUUUUGGACAAUGGGCGCAAGCCUGAUCCAGCAAUGCCGCGUGCAGGAAGAAGGCCUUCGGGUUGUAAACUGCUUUUGUACGGAACGAAACGGUCUGGGUUAAUACCCUGGGCUAAUGACGGUACCGUAAGAAUAAGCACCGGCUAACUACGUGCCAGCCGCCGCGGUAACAC
rnacentral:rRNA from 1 species